GCAUCUGAUGUGAUGAUGAGUGAACUCAGGGCCUGGGCAUCAGAGCUGUUCGGAGGUAUUUCAGGCAACUCUAACGGGCAGCCAGGGUGCAGGAGCACUGUCGAGGGUCCCUUUUAACUGUCUUUUCAGAUUGAUACCCAGGGCCAUGCUCCUCCGGGUCAUGCUUUCGAUGAAUGAACAAUCUAAAUUCAGAGUGGGCUCUUGCCGUUCCCCAUCAAAGCCAUGGUUCUCUGCGUCCAGAGCAGUCACUGGAGCUGAAGAAGACAGAGCACAACCGGGAGCUGGUCCGAAGGAGCCGGAGAGACUGCUGAGUGGUUAAGAGCACUGACUGCUCUUCCAGAGGACCUGGGUUCAAUUCCCAGCACCCACAUGGCAGCUCACACCUGUCUGUAACUCCAGUUCCAGGGGAUCCAACAGCUUCACACAGACA